UCAGCAACCAAAUCCGUCGGUCACCGAAUUCAGUAAUCUCCGUCUCUUUGUCCAUUCUCUCUGACAAGCAUGUUCUCCUAUGGGACACGAAGUACAUGAAGAGGAAUGAAGAAGCCCAUGUUUGAUGCUCGUCUCCAGGGUGGAGAAUUUAAUUUAUAAGUAAUGAAGUGGCAUCUGACACGUGACAAGCUGCUCCUGUUUGCACAGCAACUUCAACAUUGUGUACUGUGAUCACGGCCUAGUUCAGAGGUAGAACAAGGUGAUCCUCUCAAUUUUACACUCCUUUACUGAUGGUUCCAGUGCCAGAGAAAAACCCACCACCAUUAACCUAGACCUGCUGAAACAGAAGAGAUUACCUUCUUCUACAGAAAACUUCCAUAUGACUGCUUCGGAACGCAUGCUGCAGACAUGAAGUAACCUUCAUCUUCCAGUGAUUAAUAAUCCUGGACGGCCCAGAUAGAGAGAGACUAUUCUAUUAUAAAGA